rnacentral:misc_RNA from 1 species
GAAAUGCGAUAAGUAAUGUGAAUUGCAGAAUUCAGUGAAUCAUCGAAUCUUUGAACGCACAUUGCGCCCGCCAGUAUUCUGGCGGGCAUGCCUGUCCGAGCGUCAUUUCAACCAUCAAGCCCCCGGGCUUGUGUUGGGGACCUGCGGCUGCCCGCUGGCCCUGAAAACCAGUGGCGGGCUCGCUGUCACACCGAGCGUAGUAGCAAUCACCUCGCUCAGGGCGUGCUGCGGGUUCCGGCCGUUAAACAGCCUUACAAAACCCAAGGUUGACCUCGGAUCAGGUAGGAAGACCCGCUGAACUUAAGC